AAAAUGUCCAUCAUGGCCUGGGCCCCUCUCCUACUCUCCCUCCUCCUUUACUUCACAGGAUCCUGGGCCCAGUCUGUGCUGACUCAGCCAACCUCAAUGUCUGGGAACCUGCGUGAGAGGGUCACCCUCUCCUGCAGUGGAAGCAGCAGCAACAUUGGAAGUAACUAUGUAAGCUGGUACCAACAGCUCCCAGGAACAUCUCCUAAACUCCUCAUCUAUGAUAACAGCAAUCGACCCUCAGGGAUCCCAGACAGAUUCUCAGGUUCCAAGUCUGGCAACUCAGCCUCCCUGACCAUCACUGAGCUGCAGGCAGAUGAUGAGGCUAAUUAUUUCUGUCACUCCUAUGAUGACAGCCUGAGUGCUCACACAGUGCUCCAGGCCUGCAGGGAAGUGAGACAAGAACCCCAUUCUCAUCUGUCCAGAGGGGAAUAA